UUAAAAAACUGGACUCAGUUGGCAUGAUGCUGUACAUUUGAAUUUUAGAAAUACUAAGAUAUUAUGAUAUAUGUAUUUAUAAGUAUGUGCCCAUGCAGGUAUAAAUAAUUCCUUGCCAUUGCAAAUUUAAGUGCCAGAUACCUUUUCUGUUUGUUUAUUUAGCACCAUAUGUUAAAGUCAAAUUCGUGGAUGAUGGUCAGGUGGAAGUCUAUGAUUCUGCCUUACUCUAUGGUGAAAUUAUACAUCCAGAGACAGAUGAUUCAAUUAAAUUUAAAGACUUGUAUAUAGGUCAGGAAGUUGCUGCAUGGUGGUGAAACACAAAUCACUAUUAAGCUACAGUUAUAGAGCUAUUUACAGGUGAAAAGUCAAAAGGAAAGGCCGGUCCAUUAAAAAAAAGCACAGAAACCAGCAAAAGUGAUAGAGAAGAAGAAAAAUAAGAAGACAAAAAAUAAGAAGCCAGUGACAAAUGAAGAUGGAGGAAGUGAUGACAGUUCUGAAGAAAUCAGUGUAAUGGAGGUGGAUGUGAAAAAAAAAAUAAAAAGAAAUUGAAGCAGAAAAGAAAAAGAACAAGGAAGCAGUAAUGGCAGCCAGUCAACAAGUUGCAGCUUCAUUAUUUUCCAAGAAAACGGUAGUUACUGCCAAUGCAGAUUCAAUUAAUGCCUAUUCCUUUGAACAGCAGUCUGCAUGCCCUACCACCUUAUCUGCCUUUCCUCAAAACAUCUACUUCUUCAAGUACUGAAACCCUAUCACCUUCACUGUCUCACCCUGCAACCAAAGAGAGUCACAAAAUGACAGCUGAACUGUCUGGCUAUGAAGCCCCAAAACCCUCUGCCUCCCCAAAACCCUCUUCCUCUGAAAUUCCAUUUCCACAUAUUGUCACACCCCUUUCCAGUACUACAACCCAAGAAACAAUCACUUCGUCAGCUUCUGUGAAUGCACCCUUCCACUAUUCACAACAGGCAUGUAGCACAAACUUCCCACUUUCAUACCCUUUUGCUCAGGGAACGCAAUAUCCUUCAUAUCCUCUCUACCCUCAACCUGUAUACUCUCAACCUAUAUAGAGGCCAUACUGGAAUCAACCAUACACUAGUGCUUUUUCUAGGACGUCUGACUACACUGAGGAUAAUCAGUGUCCGGAUAGAGGAGGAGUUCUUGGUAACAACCAGUCAGCUGGUCAACUUCUUGACAUCAGUAGCAACUGCUCUUUGAAUGAGUCAGAAUUUAUGACACGUUCAAUAAAUGUUAUUGAUGGAGAAGUUGAUAUGGCAAGGUCAUCAACACCAAGAUCUCCUUCACCGGUUGAAACCAGUUUACUUCAGACCUGUCAGGCAUGCCUAACUCUUCCCCUACAGGCCGCAAAGUGGCCCCAACAAUAGGUUGCUUUGAUUGCAGUCUUAAAGAUCAAAUUAUUAAAGACCUAAGGGCUGAAAUUGAUCAGCUGAAACAGACAUUGAAUGGUAAGGGUUUUGUAUAUUUUGUAAAGCCUGGAAAAGUGACCUCCAUAAUAAAAUUAACAUAGAGUAUAUAAAGUUAUCUCAACAGAUAUACCAGCUUUGUGGGUCAUUUUCCACAUUGACCUGAAGUGGGACAGGGGGAGGGUAUAUAGACUCUUUCUUUGAAAACAUCGUUUGUGAUAGGAUGGUAUAACGAUUUGGUUUCAAAUUUCAAGCGAUUAGAUCUGCCUUUGGCCAUUUACCAUGCAAAAUAUAACAUAUACUGGUGGCAAAGUAUACAAAGUAGUGUUUUAUUGGAACAUAACUUGUAAAGGCAUUUGAUUGGAGCUUCACAUAAUGAUAGAGGCAUUUUAUAAACAUGUUUCAGUUUUCCAUAAAAUACAUGUUGUGUCUAUAUUAUGUUUUUUAGUUCACCUGUUACAAAGUGACAAGGUGAGCUUUUGUGAUCGUGCGGUGUCCGUCGUCCGUCGUGAGUCCGUAAACUUUUGCUUGUGACCACUCUAGAGGUCACAUUUUUCAUGGGAUCUUUAUGAAAGUUGGUCAGAAUGUUCAUCUUGAUGAUAUCUAGGUCAAGGUCGAAACUGGGUCACGUUCCAUCAAAAACUAGGUCAGUAGGUCUAAAAAUAGAAAAACCUUGUGACCUCUCUAGAGGCCAUAUAUUUCACAAGAUCUUCAUGAAAAUUGGUCAGAAUGUUCACCUUGAUGAUAUCUAGGUCAAGUUCGAAACUGGGUCAAGUGCCAUCAAAAACUAGGUCAGUAGGUCUAAAAAUAGAAAAACCUUGUGACCUCUCUAGAGGCCAUAUAUUUCACAAGAUCUUCAUGAAAAUUGGUCAGAACGUUCACCUUGAUGAUAUCUAGAUCAAGUUCGAAACUGGGUCACGUGCCAUCAAAAACUAGGUCAGUAGGUCAAAUAAUAGAAAAACCUUGUGACCUCUGUAAAGGCCGUACUUUUCAUGGGAUCUGUAUGAAAGUUGGUCUGAAUGUUCAUCUUGAUGAUAUCUAGGUCAAGUUUGAAACUGGGUCACGUGCGUUCAAAAACUAGGUCAGUAGGUCUAAAAAUAGAAAAACCUUGUGACCUCUCUAGAGGCCAUAUAUUUCAUGAGAUCUUCAUGAAAAUUGGUCAGAAUGUUCACCUUGAUGAUAUCUAGGUCAAGUUCGAAAGUGGGUCACAUGCCGUCAAAAACUAGGUCAGUAGGUCAAAUAAUAGAAACACCUUGUGACCUCUCUAGAGGCCAUAUUUUUCAUGGGACCUGUAUGAAACUUGGUCUGAAUGUUCAUCUUGAUGAUAUCUAGGUCAGUUUCGAAAGUGGGUCACAUGCCGUCAAAAACUAGGUCAGUAGGUCAAAUAAUAGAAAAACCUUGUGACCUCUCUAAAGGCCAUAUUUUUCAUGGAAUCUGUAUAAAAGUUGGUCUGAAUGUUCAUCUUGAUGAUAUCUAGGUCAAGUUGGAAACAGGGUCAUGUGCGUUCAAAAACUAGGUCAGUAGGUCUAAAAAUAGAAAAACCUUGUGACCUCUCUAGAGGCCAUCCUUGUGAAUGGAUCUCCAUAAAAAUUGGUCAGAAUGUUCACCUUGAUGAUAUCUAGGUCAAGUUUGAAACUGGGUCAUGUGCCUUAAAAAACUAGGUCAGUAGGUCAAAUAAUAAAAAAACCUUGUGACCUCUCUAGAGGCCGUACUUUUCAUGGGAUCUGUAUGAAAGUUGGUCUGAAUGUUCAUCUUGAUGAUAUCUAGGUCAAGUUUGAAACAGGGUCAUGUGCGUUCAAAAACUAGGUCAGUAGGUCUAAAAAUAGAAAAACCUUGUGACCUCUCUAGAGGCCAUAUAUUUCAUGAGAUCUUCAUGAAAAUUGGUCAGAAUGUUUACCUUGAUGAUAUCUAGGUCAAGUUUGAAAGUGGGUCACGUGCCGUCAAAAACUAGGUCAGUAGGUCAAAUAAUAGAAACACCUUGUGACCUCUUUAGAGGCCAUAUUUUUCAUGGGAUCUGUAUGAAACUUGGUCUGAAUGUUCAUCUUGAUGAUAUCUAGGUCAGUUUCAAAAGUGGGUCACAUGCCAUCAAAAACUAGGUCAGUAGGUCAAAUAAUAGAAAAACCUUGUGACCUCUCUAAAGGCCAUAUUUUUCAUGGAAUCUGUAUAAAAGUUGGUCUGAAUGUUCAUCUUGAUGAUAUCUAGGUCAAGUUCGAAACUGGGUCACAUGCCAUCAAAAACUAGGUCAGUAGGUCUAAAAAUAGAAUAACCUUGUGACCUCUCUAGAGGCCAUAUAAUUCACAAGAUCUUCAUGAAAAUUGAUCAGAAUGUUCACCUUGAUGAUAUCUAGGUCAAGUUCGAAACUGGGUCACGUGCCUUCAAAAACUAGGUCAGUAGGUCUAAAAAUAGAAAAACCUUGUGACCUCUCUAGAGGCCAUAUAUUUCACAAGAUCUUCAUGAAAAUUGGUCAGAACGUCCACCUUGAUGAUAUCUAGGUCAGGUUCGAAACUGGGUCACAUGCCAUCAAAAACUAGGUCAGUAGGUCAAAUAAUAGAAAAACCUUGUGACCACUCUAAAGGCCAUAUUUUUCAUGGGAUCUGUAUGAAAGUUGGUCUGAAUGUUCAUCUUGAUGAUAUCUAGGUCAGAUUUGAAACUGGGUCACAUGCAGUCAAAACUAGGUCAGUAGGUCUAAAAAUAGAAAAACCUUGUGACCUCUCUAGAGGCCAUAUAUUUCAUGAGAUCUUCAUGAAAAUUGGUCAGAAUGUUCACCUUAAUGAUAUCUAAGUCAAGUUUGAAAGUCGGUCACGUGCCAUCAAAAUCUAGGUCAGAAGGUCAAAUAAUAGAAAAACCUUGUGACCUCUCUAGAGGCCAUAUUUUUCAUGGGAUCUGUAUGAAAAUUGGCCUGAAUGUUCAUCUUGAUGAUAUCUAGGUCAAGUUUGAAAGUGGGUCACGUGCCGUCAAAAACUAGGUCAGUAGGUCAAAUAAUAGAAAACAUUGUGACCUUCCUAAGGACCAUAUUUUUCAUGGGAUCUGUAUGAAAAUUGGUCUGAAUGUUCAUCUUGAUGAUAUCUAGGUCAAAUUCGAAACAGGGUCAUGUGUGGUCAAAAACUAGGUCAUUAGGUCUAAAAAUAGAAAAACCUUGUGACCUCUUUAGAGGCCAUACUUGUGAAUGGAUCUCCAUAAAAAUUGGUCAGAGUGUUCACCUUGAUGAUAUCUAGGUCAGGUUUGAAACUGGGUCACGUGCCUUAAAAAACUAGGUCAGUAGGUCAAAUAAUAAAAAAAACCUUGUGACCUCUCUAAAGGCCAUACUUUUCAUGGCAUCUGUAUGAAAUUUGGUCUGAAUGUUCAUCUUGAUGAUAUCUAGGUCAAGUUUGAAACUGGGUCAACUGCGGUCAAAAACUAGGUCAGUAGGUCUAAAAUUAUUAAAAUCUUUUGACCUCUCUAGAGGCCAUAUUUUUCAAUGGAUCUUCAUGAAAAUUGAUCUGAAUAUUCACCUUGAUGAUAUCUAGGUCAGUUUCGAAACUGGGUCACGUGCAGUCAAAAACUAGGCCAGUAGGUAUAAAAAUAGAAAAACCUUGUGACCUCUCUAGAGGCCAUAUUUUUCAUGAGAUCUUCAUGAAAAUUAGUGAGAAUGUUCACCUUGAUGAUAUCUAGGUAAAGUUCAAAACAGGGUCACGUACCUUCGAAAACUAGGUCACUAUGUCAAAUAAUAGAAAAACCUUGUGACCUCUCUAGAGAUCAUAUUUUUCAAUGGAUCUUCAUGAAAAUUGGGUCAUGUGGAGAAGGUGAGCGAUUCAGGACCAUCAUGGUCCUCUUGUUACAUUUGAUAGUUAUGCAGUAUUCAGUAGAUUUUUUAUGCAUGUACCUGAUGUUCAAGAGGUGCAUUAUUCAAUUGAAAUUUACAUAUCUCAGAUUUAAGCCACACAUUUGUUUGAUUUUUAUACAUGUAUCUCAAGUUUAAGCCGAUCAUUAUUCAGGUGAUCACAUGUUCAAAUCAGCAUUCCUCAGGAUUUCCCUCUUUAUAAUAUCUGUUAAACAUUAGUAUUAAGUUAAAAUCUGCUGGUGUCUUUCUGUGGUCUGUUCACCUUUCUUAACAAAUUAUGAAAAUGGCCAGCUAAUCUUGAUGCUUUUACUCACAGUAGAAUUACAUUGAAUUAUGUCUUUUGAUAUCAAAUAUAGUUCUGAAUGAUUGUUUGAAGCUGUUAAAUUAAUAAUCCAUUGUUUCUACAGAAUCCUUGUUAAUGUAUAUAAUUAUACAUAUCAAUAAUUGUUCCCUUACUUGUGAGAAUCGUAUACAUUUGUCACAUGUAUGUAAAUAAUGUAUUGCUCAUGUUUUCAUCAGGGUAUCUUAUUCAUGAUUUAAUGGUAUACUGAGCGUCAUUGAAAAGUUACCACUUAAUAUAUACCUCUACUUUUUUAUACAAUAUCGACGUCACUUUUUCAUGGCCUGUGUGCGGUCUAUUACUCAUAGACACUGUCUGAUCAUGUCUUCUAACCCAUUUCACGACUGUCAUGUAAGAACAGCACAUUCGACGUGCAAUUUCACGACAUGGAAGUUCGGCGUCAACCAUGCCAAUGGCCUGAUGGCGUUGAUCAUGCCUUAAACAUGGCAUUCUUAGCAAGGAUAUUCUGUUUUUUAACAUAUUCCUUUUAGUCUGUCUACUCACUUUCAAGUGUGAUGAAUGAUUUGCGAUAGAAUUUUCGUACAUGUCAACAUUGCUGGAAAAAGUCAUUUUGCACGUGUAGCCAGUGCCUCAAAUGGAGUUUAUCAAAUUUGACAAAUCUUUACACCAGUUACGUCUCAGUUGCAUCAAAAAUGCGAUUUUUAAAAUAUAAGGGCCAAAAGGGUGUUAACUUUUCAGUUACGCUGCGUAGAGUAUUUUGUUUGUAUUUUGUUUAAAUUUGUAUUUUCAUAUCAUAUGUUUUGUUAGUAUUUUGUUGGCAGUGUUUUGUUAGUGUUUUCUUAAGCACAUACGAUGAAACACUAACAAAACAUACAAUGAAACACUAACAAAACAUAAGAUAUUUUGUUAGUGUUUUGUAUAAAUAUAAUUUGCAUAUCAUGUUUUAUUGGUAUUUUGAUAGCAAUGUUUUGUUAGUAUUUUGUUAGCUCAUUUGCAUGUCAUUUGCUAUACUAAUAAAACAUCAUCAAAACACAGUAUAGUAUUAGUGUUUUGUUUCCCCUUUUUUUUUUCGCUUGGGAAGCUUGUCUGCAUUCUAAGUCAAACAUUUCUCAUCCGAUCUUCACUAAAUUUGAACAAAAUAUGUUUGACCAUAACACCUCGGCCAAGUUCAAUAACUAGCCAAAUCAGUCUAGGCAUAUUGGAGUUACUGCCCUUGAAUUUCCAAAAAUCGGCCUUUUCACUUUUGUCCGCACUCUGUCAAACAUUUCUCAUCCGAUCUUCACCAAACUUGAACUUAAUGUGUUUGACCAUGAGACCUUAACCAAGUUCAAUAACUAGCCAAAUCAGUCCAGGCAUUUUGGAAUUAUGGCACUUGAAUUACCGAAAAAUAAGCCUUUUUACUCUUGCCUGCACUCUAGGUCAAACAUUUCUCAUCUGAUCUUCACCAAACUUGAACAAAAUGUGUUUGACCAUGAGACCUUGGCCAAGGUUGAUAACUAACCAAAUCGGUUCAGGCAUUUUGGAGUUACAGCCCUUGAAUUACCAAAAAAUCGACUUUUUUUGCUCUUGUCCGCACUCUAAGUUGAACAUUUAUGAUCAGAUCUUCACUAAAUUUGAACAAAAUGUGUUUGACCAUAAGACCUUGGACAAGUUCAAUAAUGAGCCAAAUCGGUCCAGGCAUUUUGGAGUUCUGGCCCUUGAAUUGUAGUGAGUAAACGGUAUAUAAAGACUGACUUGCUAUUUAGAUGAUUAGGCAGUUGUGGUUGACAUUUGCUUUUCUCAAAAGCAGCUCUAGUUUAUGUAUCUUAUCUGUAACUUACUAGAAUAUUUUAUGUGAUAUGUACAUGAAUUAUAUUACGAUUGCAGUCUCUUAUAAUUCUUUAAUAGAAUGGUCUUGCAAUAGUUUGUUUAUAAUUGUACACUGUAAUUAUAUGUUUUAUGCAAGAAUAAGACAUAAAUAAAGAUAAAUAACUAUUUAAUGCAAGUAGUGCUACUCGAGAACAUAUAUGAUGUUAUUCAAUAUAUAUUUUAUCUAUCCAGUUGUGAAAAUUCAUUUGCAGCACGUGACCGUACAAUAUAAUAAUAAUUAUUACCUUAUUGGACGCACGUGUGUACAAAACCCGUAUUUUUCCAUAUUUGGACGGUUCAGAAAGUCCCAUUUUAAACAUACGAUAAAGCCCGAAACAAGUGAAAAUGUUCCAAAUGUAAAUCAGGUGAACAGAGUUACAUUAUGCGUCUUGAAAUGAGGAAGACAGAAAUACAAUAUUCAGUGAAUCAUUUUAAUUUGAACUAAAAUAAAACAGAUAUAGAAUAAAAAGGUUAUUAGUCCCCUACUGGUUGAAAACCAGUUUUGGGGACUAUAGGAAUGCGCUUUUCCGUCCGUCCGCAAUUUCUUGUCCGGUCCAUAACUCUCAUCCAUG